rnacentral:rRNA from 1 species
UACGUAGGGUGCAAGCGUUAAUCGGAAUUACUGGGCGUAAAGAGUGCGUAGGCGGAGAUACAAGUUAGAUGUGAAAUCCCCGAGCUUAACUUGGGAAUUGCAUUUAAGACUGUAUGUCUAGAGUUAGUAAGAGGAUAGGAGAAUUCCGAGUGUAGCAGUGAAAUGCGUAGAGAUUCGGAGGAAUAUCGGUGGCGAAGGCGCCUAUCUGGGAUAUAACUGACGCUGAGGCACGAAAGCGUGGGGAGCAAAC